AUACGUAGGGAGCGAGCGUUGUCCGGAAUUACUGGGUGUAAAGGGAGCGUAGGCGGGAUUGCAAGUCAGAUGUGAAAUGCAGGGGCUCAACCCCUGAGCUGCAUUUGAAACUGUAGUUCUUGAGUGAAGUAGAGGUAAGCGGAAUUCCUGGUGUAGCGGUGAAAUGCGUAGAUAUCAGGAGGAACACCGGUGGCGAAGGCGGCUUACUGGGCUUUUACUGACGCUGAGGCUCGAAAGCGUGGGGAGCAAACAGGAUUAGAUACCCUGGUAGUCCACGCUGUAAACGAUGAUUACUAGGUGUGGGGGGACUGACCCCUUCCGUGCCGCAGUUAACACAAUAAGUACCCCGCCUGGGGAGUACGGUCGCAAGACUAAAACUCAAAGGAAUUGACGGGG
rnacentral:rRNA from 1 species